rnacentral:rRNA from 1 species
GAUGAACGCUAGCGGGAGGCUUAACACAUGCAAGUCGAGGGGCAGCAUAGGGUAGCAAUACUCUGAUGGCGACCGGCAGACGGGUGAGUAACGCGUAUGUAACCUACCCUGUACAGGGGGAUAACCCGGAGAAAUUCGGACUAAUAUCCCAUGGAAAUAUUGAGAGGCAUCUUUUGAUAUUUAAAGUUCCGGCGGUACGGGAUGGGCAUGCGUAACAUUAGCUAGUUGGUAAGGUAACGGCUUACCAAGGCUUUGAUGUUUAGGGGUCCUGAGAGGGUGAUCCCCCAACUGGUACUGAGACACGGACCAGACUCCUACGGGAGCAGCAGUGAGGAAUAUUGGUCAAUGGGCGCAAGCCUGAACCAGCCAAUCCCGCGUGCAGGAAGACGGCGCUAUGCGUUGUAAACUGCUUUUCCAGGGGAGAAACUUGCGUACGUGAUACGCAAUUGACGGUACCCUGGGAAUAAGCAUCGGCUAACUCCGUGCCAGCAGCCGCGGUAAG